rnacentral:lncRNA from 1 species
GUGGGAGCAGAAAAAAGCGCGCAAUGCAGCAACGAACGCAACACACAAAUAAUACGCAAUACAUCAACCAAGCCGUGUAGCUUGUUACGAUUACGAGGGAGAAAUUUUAUCUUAUUAACUUCGAAGGAAGAUAUCUAAAAUUCAGAAAAGGGAAGAAGGAAGGACGGAAGGAAGAUAAAAUUCGGGGAAGAUCGUCUCACAAUUAAUUCAAUUCGGAAUAUGCAGAGGUACGAUAGUAAAAUGCAAGAGAGAGAGA